AAUUCUCAAAUCUGCAAAGUUUGCGCUUUGUAGCGUUUGGAUUGUUGGGGGCUGCUGGCUUGUAACCGAGUCGGCUCCUCUUAAAUGCAUUAGCAGGACUUUGUUGCCUCUGCAUAUGGUGUGAUAAUUAUCUACGCCAAACGCAUGCAAUGAUCAUGAGUUCCAGCUCUCUAAUCGUCCUGUUAUAAAGGACAAUUACUUGACC
rnacentral:misc_RNA from 1 species